AAGAAGGUUGGAUCUCUCCUGCUGACACAUCAGCAUCCACAUCAGAAAUUCGUCUCAUGUCGUCUCGCCACGUGUCAUCUGUACUAAACGCGCCGUUUCAUUUAUUUGCUACGUUUGUGAGCUUUGUCGCAUGUUGUGUGUUGGACCGUGAAUUGUGAAGAUGUGUCUGGCCCGAUAGAAUUCGUGUCGUCUCUGACCCUAAUACGCAGAGAAGAAACCAGGGUCGUCUUUCCUCUUUGUGCGAUGGCGGUGCCGUUUGUGCUUCUUCACAUCAUUCGAAACGGUCCGAUUAAAGGCUUCGUGAUUGAUCACAUUGAUUCACUCCCCUACGAUGUCAUCUUCAAUGCUUUGUUUGAUCCGAAAGGCGGUGAUCUCCGGUAUAACUAUGUGUGAGUGUUCCUCUCCGAUCUCAUCUUCUCUUCGUAUUUAUUAUAUCUCAUCUUCAUCGCAAGUCUAGAAUCAUAUGAGGUUUUUUUCUCUGUUUCCAAUUUUUUUUUCCAAAUUCUCAGUGUAUUUUAUGAUUAGUUUAACAAUUUAAGAAUACUGCAUAUGUAAUGAACCAGUCAUGUUAAUAGUGUUUUACGUCUGAUUUGCGUAAGAUGUUGUAUUAUUCUUCUUUGUCUUAUUCUAGAAAAAAAACUGUCAUUCGAUGCUCUCACUGCUUUAUUUUUUUGGUCAAUAUUUGCAGGCACCGGCUGUAAACUUCACAGCAGGAAAAGUCAAAGACACCUACAGGGAGGUUUUGAACAAAAUAUAAAUUGUGAGUCUACAGGGAGGUUUUGAUACUCUUAUAUCUCUUCUUUUGUUUCAAACUCCCCUCUAGAUGAUGCUAAUGGGUUUGUUAUCUGGGAAAACACAAAUACUAGAGUACCAUCCUCAGACUUUGAAGGAAUACAUUCUGGUGGCAAUCAGCUCAGCUUCAUAUAUACCAGCUUACUAGGCACACCAUUCUCUAUCUAAAAACUGUUGGUGCUCCUGCGUAUAUCGCAAGAAGUUCUUCUUCAGCAGGAGUAUGAUAGCAAAGUAUGUGGCCAUGAGACUAAUUCCUCUGUCUAGAGUUAAAACAAGCUACUCCAUUAUCUCAUAUUCUUUUAGCUGUCUGAAUAACGGGGGCGUCACAUGCCCCCAGAUUGCAAACGUAUGGUGAUGAGGGAUAACCUUAUACAUGAUGUUAGAUGAAGCAUAACGAUUUGAGGCGCCAAGAGAACUGCAACUAACCUUCUUUUAAGUUCUU